AUUGAGGACAAGGCUCAGAGAGGGACUCAGCUGAAAGCUGUCAGCUGCUAACAGUCUCAGCAGCUGGGAGAAUGAAUGCCCCAGCCCUGAAAGGGGAAGGAAAAAGGUUAAUAAAACUACUCAGCUGCAAUCUCCUGCUAUCCUUCCGAAGAGGGCAGAAUGGCUAGGUGGAGCCAUGGGCUCAGAGUGUGGAACCUUGAGCUAUAGAGAGUGGAGACUCCAGUCACAGAGGAUUUUUCCCAGCCCUUGAAAAUUAAUGAAGUUUGCUUAGCUGGAUUUUGAAAUUGCUUGGGACAGGUUUGUGCUAAGAAAAUGCCUUCAACAAACAAAGUGGCUCCAGUGGGUUUCCAGUCCCUGGGGAGAGGGGAGAAAGAGAGAAAAGAAUCACUUUCUUAAGGGGAAAAGUACAGCAGCCAUGCCAUUCUGAGGAUUUACUACAGGAUUAAAUAAACUUCUCCACUUGAGGGGGACAUGUUUGUGCUGAAGGAAUAACAUAUUAUUACUUUUUUUGGAGAGCCAGCCUGUGAAGACAGGAAGACCAUGGGCAGGUUGGGGCUCGCUGCAACCGAUAGCACCCAAGCUGCCUUCUGCUCCGGGCUGGGCAGGGUUCAAGAUGAUGUUUGCUCUUGUGGAUAAUUUUCGUGGCCUCCUCUGCCUGCAGCUCCCUUUCCUAGAAGGAUACAGCUCUGUUCCGGUGGUCACCUGGAACCCUCCCUGAACCCCCUAAGCAAUCUCUUCCAGCCUCUUCCUGCUGGGGUCCCUGCGCUUCUCCCAGUGGCCUUUGUGGAGCAGGUCCGAGACAGUCCACUCCACCUGACUCCUGCGCGGCCUUCUCUGGACCCCAGGAAGCACCCUGCACCCCUCGCCCUAUCAAGUCUGAGUGCAGGCCCAUCUCAGCCCAUGGCACCCUCUCAGGUCCCUCAGUGUUCAUCAGCUACUCUCAUCCUCUAGUGUCCCAGACAGUGGUCAGGCCCUGGUCCACUCUGCCCCCCAGCGCUAGGGGUAAUGGUCUAGGGGUUUUUUGUCUUGUUCUCUGCUU
rnacentral:lncRNA from 1 species